rnacentral:rRNA from 1 species
GAUUUCUGACUUGAAACAUUUUGCCAGCCACGGUUUCGUGUGUUAGUGCUUGAUGUUCUGGUCAUCCUUCCAAUCGCUAUUGGUUGCUCUUCAUUGAGUAGUCAGUAGUAUUGGAUCUUUUACUUUGAAAAAAUUAGAGUGUUUCAAGCAGGCUUUAUGCUAUGAAUACAUUAGCAUGGAAUAAUAAUUUAGGACUUCGGUUCUAUUUUGUUGGUUUCUAGGACUGAAGUAAUGAUUGAUAGGGAUAGUUGGGGGUGCUAGUAUUCAGCGGCCAGAGGUGAAAUUCUCGGAUUCGCUGAAGACUAACUUAUGCGAAAGCAUU